CUUACCAAGCUGCUAUUUGAGACAACCUCAAAUUGGAGGACAAGGACACACGCAUAAGCAGGAUAACCAGACUACACCUUACAGUGAAAAUGCUUGCCCCCGUGACACUCAAAGCCUGGUCAAUUAAAAUCCUGUAUGGUCUUGUUGAAGUUGCAAGUGCAAGUGCCUCUGCGUCUGCGCUGGUUGUGCCAUUUAUAGGCACUGCUGUCACAGUUGUGGGUGUUGCAUACCUCACUCACAAAGCCCACCAAAUGGCAAAAAAGCGUUAUUGACCCAUCCAUGGAGGAUGAUGGGUACAACAAUGGAGACUGAAAUUCUCAUGUUGCAUUCCUUUUAUCGAGCUGCCCUGUGUUAAUUGUCGGUGCUUGUCUGGCUACUGAAAUUUCCCUGUAGUUGACUAUUGCAUGGCUGUGAUUCUUAUACAUAGAAGGGAGACAGGAUUGCCAGGCUUUUGAAAUAGCAUGGUGAAUUGCCCUCUGAAAACAGAAAUGUUGUUCAAUGCACAAACUAUUAAAUCUCAUUAGAUUCAGAAAAACACUGAUUGGGAAAUGGAAGGGUUUUUUUUCUUGAUUUGUAGGGACAUUGCUGGUAAUUAUAUUAAUCAUUUUAGCCUAUGCUUUUCAGCCAUAUAUGUAACCAAUGAUUUUUAAAAUAAAGCUUUUCAACUC